UCAAUUACAUAUAUUUAACUUUCGGAUUACCAGCGAUACUAGCGUGCUUCAAUCUAGAUAUUGCAAAAAUGGCCGAAAGAAGACAAAAUACCACUUAAUAAUUCAACAUCGAUCUUUGCAGUGUCUUUGUUGAUUCGCUUAGUGGAAACAAAU
rnacentral:snoRNA from 1 species